UACGAAGGGGGCUAGCGUUGCUCGGAAUCACUGGGCGUAAAGCGCACGUAGGCGGCUUUCUAAGUCAGGGGUGAAAUCCUGGAGCUCAACUCCAGAACUGCCUUUGAUACUGGAGAGCUUGAGUCCGGAAGAGGUGAGUGGAACUCCGAGUGUAGAGGUGAAAUUCGUAGAUAUUCGGAAGAACACCAGUGGCGAAGGCGGCUCACUGGCCCGAUACUGACGCUGAGGCACGAAAGCGUGGGAGCAAACAGG
rnacentral:rRNA from 1 species